rnacentral:rRNA from 1 species
UACGGGGGGGGCAAGCGUUGUUCGGAAUUAUUGGGCGUAAAGGGCUCGUAGGCGGUUUGUCGCGUCGGGAGUGAAAACCUCGGGCUUAACUCGGGGCUUGCUUUCGAUACGGGCAGACUUGAGGUAUUCAGGGGAGAACGGAAUUCCUGGUGUAGCGGUGAAAUGCGCAGAUAUCAGGAGGAACACCGGUGGCGAAGGCGGUUCUCUGGGAAUAUCCUGACGCUGAGGAGCGAAAGUGUGGGGAGCGAACAGG